UUCCAGAGAUGGAUUCCUUCAGUUUGGCUGGACAAUGUCCAGGUGCUGCAAGGCUGUCGUCAGUUCGUGUCGUGAGAUGUUCGGUUAAGUCCGGCAACGAGCGCAACCCACGUCCUUAGUUACCAGCAUUUAGUUGGGUACCCUAAGGAGACUGCCGGUGAUAAGCCGGAGGAAGGUGUGGACGACGUCAGGUCAUCAUGGCCCUUACGGGUUGGGCUACACACGUGCUACAAUGGCAUCUACAGUGAGUUAAUCUCCAAAAGAUGUCUCAGUUCGGAUUGGGGUCUGCAACUCGACCCCAUGAAGUUGGAAUCGCUAGUAAUCGCGGAACAGCAUGCCGCGGUGAAUACGUUCCCGGGCCUUGUACACACCGCCCGUCACACCAUGGGAAUUGGGUCUACCCGAAGGUGGUGCGCCAACUAUUUAUAGGGGCAGCCAACCACGGUAGGUUCAGUGACUGGGGUGAAGUCGUAACAAGGUAACC
rnacentral:rRNA from 1 species